AUUGAACGCUGGCGGCAGGCCUAACACAUGCAAGUCGAACGGUAACAGGAAGAAGCUUGCUUCUUUGCUGACGAGUGGCGGACGGGUGAGUAAUGCCUGGGAAACUGCCUGAUGGAGGGGGAUAACUACUGGAAACGGUAGCUAAUACCGCAUAACGUCGCAAGACCAAAAAGGGGGACCUUCGGGCCUCUUGCCAUCGGAUGUGCCCAGAUGGGAUUAGCUAGUAGGUGGGUAACGGCUCACCUAGGCGACGAUCCCUAGCUGGUCUGAGAGGAUGACCAGCCACACUGGAACUGAGACACGGUCCAGACUCCUACGGGAGGCAGCAGUGGGGAAUAUUGCACAAUGGGCGCAAGCCUGAUGCAGCCAUGCCGCGUGUAUGAAGAAGGCCUUCGGGUUGGUUAAAGUAC
rnacentral:rRNA from 1 species